rnacentral:ncRNA from 1 species
AGAGAUAGGAUAAUUCCGUUUGAAGCUGGGCUGUUCUGUAGGCGUGGGGUUCGUCCUUGCGUUUUGUAUGCAGCCUCGUGUAUCGAAAGGGAAUCAGGUUAAUAUUCCUGAACCGAGACGUGGAUAAUAUGUGGUAACACAACCGACCCAGGAGACGCUAGCGUGUGCCCAGGGAAGAGUUCUCUUUUCUUUUUAACAAGCAUAUCCUACCUUGGAAACGGAUUAUCCGGCGAUAAGGAGGAUGCCUUGGCAAAGCACUUUACUUUUUGAAGUGUCCUGCGCGCCCACCGACAGCCCUUGAAAAUCCUGGCUAGAGAUUUAUUCGCACCCUCGUUCGUACUCAUAACCGCAUCAGGUCUCCCAAGGUUAGCAGCCUCU